UCCAACGGUUAGAGCACUGGUCUCCAAAACCGGGUGUUGGGGGUUCGAAUCCCUCCUGCC
rnacentral:tRNA from 1 species